GAGGGUAUAGCUCAGUGGUAGAGUAUAUGCUUAGCAUGCACAGGGCCCUGGGCUCAAUCCCCAGGACCUCCA
rnacentral:tRNA from 1 species